GCCGCUAAAACACUGGAAUCUAUACGGGACUCAAAAUCCCCCGCCGCAAGGCGUGCCGGUUCGAUUCCGGCCCCGGGCACCA
rnacentral:tRNA from 1 species